rnacentral:SRP_RNA from 1 species
GUUGGGUGUGGUGGUGCUCACCUGUAGUCCCAACUACUUGGGAAGCUGAGGUGGUAGGAUCACUUGAGCCCAGGAGUUCAAGGCUGCAGUGAGCCAUGAUUGAGCCACUGUACUUCAGCCUGGGCAAGACAGUGAGACCCUGUCUCUG